UUUGAGAGCAAUAUAGGACAUUUCAUCCAUAUCCUAUUGAAACGGCAGUUCCUUCCUUCAUCAAUGUAAAAAUUGAAUCCUUCAUCCCCAACUUGAAUGUUUCUUUUGAAACUGAUAACCAUUCAUAUUCGGGGUUUUAAUUUUAUUUGCGGAUUGAUCUCAGGUGACUGCAUUUGUAAAUUGAAGGUUUCGAGGUUAAGGCAUCGGUUUUUUUAUAGUGGUGAUGCCGGUGACGUGGCGGCGUUGAAGAAGUAAGGCUGUGGUGACGGUGGUGCUUGGAUCACUGUUUGGGCUCUGUUGCAGCAACAAUACAGAGGCCGGCACCCCAUCUUACACAAAUUCAAGUAACAACAACCAGUUGCCGGUAAACAAACGGUACAUUUCAUGGAAGGAUCACAGUAAUGAAAAGUUUGGCGGUGAAGUCUUCCCAAAAAAAUUCCAAAAUGGUAGUCUCAUUGGUGGUGGGCAUCUCAGUUAGUCUAUCACAUUCCAAAUUUGAACUUGUUGGUACAAGAACAUUGGAAGACAUGAAGAGUGGUGGAUCAAAAUGAAAAGAUAGGAGUCAAAGCAAGGAUGAGGAUAUACUGCAAAGUAAAGUUUUUACAGAAGGAUAGUUCAACAAAUGCUGAACAUUAACCUGCAAGAAGCCAGCCAAGGCCUCCCAGGUCUUAUGCUUUAGGAGGUAUGGAUCAUAUAGUCCCCUACUUUCUGGAGUCCUAGCCCAAUUAUGAGCUAAGAGGUCACAAAAUUAGUAUUGGUAGUUGGAACGGCUCAGAAACAUGCUCCAAGGGUCCAUCUGCAUAUGGUUAAGGAUGGGCGACAACGGGUGUGAUAUUGCGUUUUGGUUGGACUGCUGGUUGAAUGAAACCCCCCUAUGGUUAAAGUAUUCGACUUUGUUCGCUUUGGAGUGGUCGUAAAAUGUAUUCAUUGCGAAUAUACCACUGUGAUGUGACAUUCAAUUGGAGGAUGCAUCCAUUUUCCCAAGCAGAAGUAGAAGAGAUGGAUCGGCUGUUGGCUUAUUGCAUCUGGUUACAAUAUUUGAGAGGGGGGACCAAUGGAGGUAGGCUCUAGAGGCAUCAGAGUCGCUUUAAGUAUGUAGUCUGAGAUCACAAAUGCAAUUCCAGACAUGUGUUGACUUGGUCAAGUUGUUAAACAAUGUCAUCUAAAGCUUUUUCAUUAUGUCACUAUUAAAUGAA